GUUCUUCAAUAUUUUCCUAUCUCCCUUGGGAAGAUUAAGAAGAACUUAAUUCAACCUGAAGUGGUGUAAAUAUUCUGAGAUGAAGCCCCUUUUUACAUGUGCACUACUGAACAGAAUUGAUGUAAGUAAGAUAAUCACUGUCUCAAAGUGAAAGUACAUCUUCUAUGAACAAGUUUACACCUGCUCAGGGCAGAGGGCAAAGACAUAAGAAUGAGGGAGUUGGGAACAGAACACGCUUUCUAAGCUGGUAAGGAAAUUAAAAAUAGCCCAGAACUAUCAUUCAUCAAAUAGUUUUUUUUUUCAAUUCUUAAGGUAUUGCUGAGAAAGUAAAAAAGGAAGCAUAUGUCAUCUGGUAAUGUCCUUGACUGUUCGGUGUUUAAUUUUAUUUUGGGAGCCUCUUGAUCUUGGGACAGCUGUGAAGAAAGAGCCUCCCUCUCCUAGCUUCCUAGAAGAGUGCUGAAUGAUAGCGAUAUUCAAACCAGAACUGAGCAAAGGUACAGUUAAGUAUGAGGAAUACUUGGGAGAUCCGGACACAGAGCAUGUCAGCUGUCACCAAGAACAUGAAUCCUCAGCUGUUGCCCUUUUUUCUCCUUACAAGUAAGUCCUGUCACACAGCACUAUAAAAAGGAGGGGGCAUGUCAAGAGAAAUUUCAUUUUGUUCUGAUUAUCAAAUUAAAUUACUCAGGAUCAACUUCAGAACACCUCUAAAUUUGUUCUCCACGUGUAAUUUCUGUGUAACUAAUAGUGCCUAAGUGUCAUAAAUAUGCAUUGUGCCCAAUAGGAUCAACCACUUCAAAAAGACCUCAUUGCUAUAAAUUGUAAAUAUUUUUAGACUUUCCUUCUGUAAUACACCUGACCCAAAAUACAAAGAAUGUUGACUAAGUAGGAAUGAUAUCUUACACCUCUUUUCUAUGAGGUUUCAGAUUUUCCACUUUUUAAAAAUGUUAGUUCUUGAUUGGUUUUUCUAAAAUAAACUUUUUAUUUUAGAAUACUUUUAGAUUUAA
rnacentral:lncRNA from 13 species